rnacentral:rRNA from 1 species
UGCAUAUCAAUAAGCGGAGGAAAAGAAACUAACAAGGAUUCCCCUAGUAACUGCGAGUGAAGCGGGAAAAGCUCAAAUUUCGAAUCUGAUGGUCUUUGGCCGUCCGAGUUGUAAUCUAGAGAAGCGUUUUCUGUGCUGGACUGUGUAUAAGUCUCCUGGAAGGGAGCGUCAUAGAGGGUGAGAAUCCCGUCUUGGACACAGACUGCCAGUGCUUUGUGAUGCGCUCUCGACGAGUCGAGUUGUUUGGGAAUGCAGCUCAAAAUGGGUGGUAAAUUCCAUCUAAAGCUAAAUACAGGCGAGAGACCGAUAGCGAACAAGUACCGUGAGGGAAAGAUGAAAAGAACUUUGGAAAGAGAGUUAAACAGUACGUGAAAUUGCUGAAAGGGAAACGCUUGAUGUCAGUCGCGUCGGCCAGGGAUCAACCUUGCUUAGUUGCUGGGUGCAUUUCCUGGUAGACGGGUCAGCAUCAGUUUCGGUCGUCGUACAAUGGUAAAGGGAAUGUGGCACCUCUUGGGGUGUGUUAUAGCCUUUUGUCGAAUGCGUCGGUCAGGACUGAGGAACUCGGCACGAUCUAUUUGGAUUUGUGUCUAGGAUGCUGGCAUAAUGGCUUUAAGCGA